ACGAACGCUGGCGGCGUGCUUCACACCUGCCAGUCGAACGGUGAAGCGCCUUCCUUUUUGGUGGGUGUGGAUGAGUGGCGAACGGGUGAGUAACACGUGAGUAACCUGCCCCCUUCUUCUGGAUAACCGCAUGAAAGUGUGGCUAAUACGGGAUAUUCUGGGUCUGUCGCAUGAUGGGUCUGGGAAAGAUAUUGUUUCGGUGGGGGAUGGGCUCGCGGCCUAUCAGCUUGUUGGUGGGGUGAUGGCCUACCAAGGCGGUGACGGGUAGCCGGCCUGAGAGGGUGGACGGUCACACUGGGACUGAGACACGGCCCAGACUCCUACGGGAGGCAGCAGUGGGGAAUAUUGCACAAUGGGCGCAAGCCUGAUGCAGCGACGCCGCGUGAGGGAUGGAGGCCUUCGGGUUGUGAACCUCUUUCGCCAGUGAAGCAGGCCUGCCUCGUUUGUGGGUGGGUUGACGGUAGCUGGAUAAGAAGCGCCGGCUAACUACGUG
rnacentral:rRNA from 1 species